rnacentral:lncRNA from 1 species
GACGACAGUAAGGACAACAUAGCAAUACGACAUAAACAGAGGACAUAUACUAAAUUAUCUGAACAAGUAGGCAAUGUCUGUAGACAAGGACAUGUGUAGUACAAAGCACAAAGCAGUCGGUUCAUUUUUGGCAGAAACUUAACCUCAUACAGCCCUAGAGGUGAACUGUCCCUUUAAGCAUUCAACAGUGGUGUGUACUGUAUCUCAAGCUUGUUUGUUUCGGACAUGAAUGAUGCCUCAAUCUUACAAUUUUUCCCUAAUCAAUGAAUGACAGCAGUAUCAUAGAAACUUUGACUUGGCCAGUAAGCAACAUGCUAAAAACCACAACAAACACAUUAGCAAAUGCAUAGCAAACUAGCAUUGAGGCAGCAUGUUUUGUAAAAGAAAACAGCACUCUAGCAAUGUAAUGAUCUAGUUUUCUAUACUGUGGCACUGUUUUGUGGCAUUAUCAUGAGGUAUAGAGUUUCAAUUCAGGUUCACAGUGCUGAGGAAGAGGAAGCCACUUCAUCAGAAUUCUGCUCCACAGUCACAUUGUCUGUUUCGAUGCAUCACCACAAAUCGUCACCACUGAGAGGGGACAGUUUUCAGUCAGACAGCAGUGGAUAUGCUGACGAGGAUGUGCACCAUUCCCUCUUAACCCCAGAUAAAACAUAACAUCAAAUCUCAGGCUAAUGAAGCACAAACUGCGUCUACUAAUAUCCUUCAAGUCAACAUGAAAUAGUGUUUGCAAACCCAUCUUUCGAAGCGGGAUGGAAUGACUUUAUCUUUGGAAUAGUUUGUACAGAUAAGUCAUGCACAAUAAGACCAGGAGCAUGUGAUUGUUGCUUUUAUAUUACUCUAAUGUGAAAACCAGCAGCCUUGAAUGAUGCAUAUAAUCUGGUUUUGAAAUAGUUUGUUUUCUAAUUUUGUGCACUUUUCGGUCGUCUUGUUCAGAUGGAUAAACUGCUGUACAUAUUGCCUUUAUUUGUCAUUGCACAAUGGUAAUAAAUUAUUUAUUUGAACUAUUUAGUUUUGGUAGACUGGUUUAGGAACUUGUCUGAUAAUGCAGUGGUGACUGGAACCCAAAAAUUUGAUUUGAAUACAGAAAUGUCCAUUGAAAC